ACCCUAACCUCUUUGUCUUUGUCUUUGUGUGUCUUGUCAGUUUGUCUUUUUGCGACGUUUGUUUCUCGCGUUAUUACUAUAUCAGAGUUUUUAGACAUAAAGUAUUCAUAUUGAAGUUAGUUUUUGUCAAUUUUCAAUUUCUUUGUUCAUAGUUAAUUCCAUAGUGUUCGAUUUUAGAAGACUAACUGCAACAAAAGUGCUUGUGAGCCAACAAAACAUAAAGUAGAACCUCGAUAGUUCGACACUCCCUGUAGUUCGACACAGGCCGUGAUGACAAGACAUGGCAUCAGUGGCCGAUGACGGGUUCACCAAGGUUAAAAACUAGAGCAUUCUUAGUGUUUUCGUGCAUGGAAAAACUCAAUAGGAAAAGAGGAGUUAUUGGUGCACAGAAUAGGAACAUCAGGCUGAGGUUAUGCGACAGUAAAUAAUGUAUAAGUAAAAUGUCACUUAAUUUAACUCAUGUUCUAAUUUUCAAGUUUGUUUUAUACUUUAUAUUUUCAUAAAAUAAAUUUACUAUAACCAAUGUCACUUGCUACAUUUUAUUUAUACCCCCACAAAUAGUGAUAUUUUGGCUAUGUUUGAAGAACUGUUUUGAACUUUUAAACUUUUUGUUGAUCACUGAGAUGUCUUUUCUAAAGCAGGGUCUGGUGUAAUUUGAUGAGGCCUUAUUAAAAAUUAAAUGCUCUCACCCUUCACUCACAAGCUUGGCAGAAUAGGCUUAUUAUUUUUAACCUAACUCAGUUAUCCUAUACAACAUUUAAAUAAAGUGUUAUAGCAUCAUUUAUAGGUUUCUAGC